GCAAGCGUUAUCCGGAAUCAUUGGGCGUAAAGCGCCUGUAGGUUGCCUAAUAAGUCUGUUGUUAAAGACCAGGGCUUAACCCUGGGAAAGCAAUGGAAACUACUAGGCUUGAGUAUGGUAGGGGUAGAGGGAAUUUCUAGUGUAGCGGUGAAAUGCGUAGAUAUUAGAAAGAACACCGGUGGCGAAAGCGCUCUACCUGGGCCAUUACUGACACUCAGAGGCGAAAGCUAGGGGAGCGAAAGGGAUUAGAUACCCCUGUAGUCCUAGCCGUAAACGAUGGAUACUAGGUGUUGURUUUAUAUACAGUAUCGUAGCUAACGCGUUAAGUAUCCCGCCUGGGGAGUACGCUCGCAAGGGUGAAACUCAAAGGAAUUGACGGGGGCCCGCACAAGCGGUGGAGCAUGUGGUUUAAUUCGAUGCAACGCGAAGAACCUUACCAGGGCUUGACAUACUACAAAUCUUUUUGAGACGAAAGAGUGCCUUYGGGAAUGUAGAUACAGGUGGUGCAUGGCUGUCGUCAGCUCGUGUCGUGAGAUGUUGGGUUAAGUCCCGCAACGAGCGCAACCCUCGUUUUUAGUUGCCAAUUUAUUGGGAUUUCUAAAGAGACUGCCGAUGAUAAAUCGGAGGAAGGUGAGGAUGACGUCAAGUCAGCAUGCCCCUUAUGUCCUGGGCCACACACGUGCUACAAUGGCAAAGACAAAGAGUCGCAAAUUCGCGAGAACUAGCUAAUCUCAUA
rnacentral:rRNA from 1 species